CCCUGGCAGUCAGAGGCGAUGAAGGACGUGCUAAUCUGCGAUAAGCGUCGGUAAGGUGAUAUGAACCGUUAUAACCGGCGAUUUCCGAAUGGGGAAACCCAGUGUGAUUCGUCACACUAUCAUUAACUGAAUCCAUAGGUUAAUGAGGCGAACCGGGGGAACUGAAACAUCUAAGUACCCCGAGGAAAAGAAAUCAACCGAGAUUCCCCCAGUAGCGGCGAGCGAACGGGGAGGAGCCCAGAGCCUGAAUCAGUGUGUGUGUUAGUGGAAGCGUCUGGAAAGGCGUGCGAUACAGGGUGACAGCCCCGUACACAAAAAUGCACAUACUGUGAGCUCGAUGAGUAGGGCGGGACACGUGGUAUCCUGUCUGAAUAUGGGGGGACCAUCCUCCAAGGCUAAAUACUCCUGACUGACCGAUAGUGAACCAGUACCGUGAGGGAAAGGCGAAAAGAACCCCGGCGAGGGGAGUGAAAAAGAACCUGAAACCGUGUACGUACAAGCAGUGGGAGCCUCUUAAUGGGGUGACUGCGUACCUUUUGUAUAAUGGGUCAGCGACUUAUAUUCUGUAGCAAGGUUAACCGAAUAGGGGAGCCGAAGGGAAACCGAGUCUUAACUGGGCGUUAAGUUGCAGGGUAUAGACCCGAAACCCGGUGAUCUAGCCAUGGGCAGGUUGAAGGUUGGGUAACACUAACUGGAGGACCGAACCGACUAAUGUUGAAAAAUUAGCGGAUGACUUGUGGCUGGGGGUGAAAGGCCAAUCAAACCGGGAGAUAGCUGGUUCUCCCCGAAAGCUAUUUAGGUAGCGCCUCGUGAAUUCAUCUCCGGGGGUAGAGCACUGUUUCGGCAAGGGGGUCAUCCCGACUUACCAACCCGAUGCAAACUGCGAAUACCGGAGAAUGUUAUCACGGGAGACACACGGCGGGUGCUAACGUCCGUCGUGAAGAGGGAAACAACCCAGACCGCCAGCUAAGGUCCCAAAGUCAUGGUUAAGUGGGAAACGAUGUGGGAAGGCCCAGACAGCCAGGAUGUUGGCUUAGAAGCAGCCAUCAUUUAAAGAAAGCGUAAUAGCUCACUGGUCGAGUCGGCCUGCGCGGAAGAUGUAACGGGGCUAAACCAUGCACCGAAGCUGCGGCAGCGACACUAUGUGUUGUUGGGUAGGGGAGCGUUCUGUAAGCCUGUGAAGGUGUACUGUGAGGUAUGCUGGAGGUAUCAGAAGUGCGAAUGCUGACAUAAGUAACGAUAAAGCGGGUGAAAAGCCCGCUCGCCGGAAGACCAAGGGUUCCUGUCCAACGUUAAUCGGGGCAGGGUGAGUCGACCCCUAAGGCGAGGCCGAAAGGCGUAGUCGAUGGGAAACAGGUUAAUAUUCCUGUACUUGGUGUUACUGCGAAGGGGGGACGGAGAAGGCUAUGUUGGCCGGGCGACGGUUGUCCCGGUUUAAGCGUGUAGGCUGGUUUUCCAGGCAAAUCCGGAAAAUCAAGGCUGAGGCGUGAUGACGAGGCACUACGGUGCUGAAGCAACAAAUGCCCUGCUUCCAGGAAAAGCCUCUAAGCAUCAGGUAACAUCAAAUCGUACCCCAAACCGACACAGGUGGUCAGGUAGAGAAUACCAAGGCGCUUGAGAGAACUCGGGUGAAGGAACUAGGCAAAAUGGUGCCGUAACUUCGGGAGAAGGCACGCUGAUAUGUAGGUGAAGUCCCUCGCGGAUGGAGCUGAAAUCAGUCGAAGAUACCAGCUGGCUGCAACUGUUUAUUAAAAACACAGCACUGUGCAAACACGAAAGUGGACGUAUACGGUGUGACGCCUGCCCGGUGCCGGAAGGUUAAUUGAUGGGGUUAGCGGUAACGCGAAGCUCUUGAUCGAAGCCCCGGUAAACGGCGGCCGUAACUAUAACGGUCCUAAGGUAGCGAAAUUCCUUGUCGGGUAAGUUCCGACCUGCACGAAUGGCGUAAUGAUGGCCAGGCUGUCUCCACCCGAGACUCAGUGAAAUUGAACUCGCUGUGAAGAUGCAGUGUACCCGCGGCAAGACGGAAAGACCCCGUGAACCUUUACUAUAGCUUGACACUGAACAUUGAGCCUUGAUGUGUAGGAUAGGUGGGAGGCUUUGAAGUGUGGACGCCAGUCUGCAUGGAGCCGGCCUUGAAAUACCACCCUUUAAUGUUUGAUGUUCUAACGUUGGCCCCUGACCGGGGUUGCGGACAGUGUCUGGUGGGUAGUUUGACUGGGGCGGUCUCCUCCUAAAGAGUAACGGAGGAGCACGAAGGUUGGCUAAUCCUGGUCGGACAUCAGGAGGUUAGUGCAAUGGCAUAAGCCAGCUUGACUGCGAGCGUGACGGCGCGAGCAGGUGCGAAAGCAGGUCAUAGUGAUCCGGUGGUUCUGAAUGGAAGGGCCAUCGCUCAACGGAUAAAAGGUACUCCGGGGAUAACAGGCUGAUACCGCCCAAGAGUUCAUAUCGACGGCGGUGUUUGGCACCUCGAUGUCGGCUCAUCACAUCCUGGGGCUGAAGUAGGUCCCAAGGGUAUGGCUGUUCGCCAUUUAAAGUGGUACGCGAGCUGGGUUUAGAACGUCGUGAGACAGUUCGGUCCCUAUCUGCCGUGGGCGCUGGAGAACUGAGGGGGGCUGCUCCUAGUACGAGAGGACCGGAGUGGACGCAUCACUGGUGUUCGGGUUGUCAUGCCAAUGGCACUGCCCGGUAGCUAAAUGCGGAAGAGAUAAGUGCUGAAAGCAUCUAAGCACGAAACUUGCCCCGAGAUGAGUUCUCCCUGACUCCUUGAGAGUCCUGAAGGAACGUUGAAGACGACGACGUUGAUAGGCCGGGUGUGUAAGCGCAGCGAUGCGUUGAGCUAACCGGUACUAAUGAACCGUGAGGCUUAACCUU
rnacentral:rRNA from 1 species